GUUUGUAGCCUUUGUGUAGACUUUAGGAGUAUUUUACUUAUAUAAUACAGAUUCAAAUAGGUGGUACGUCGGUAGGCAUGUUAAUGCUAGUCUUUUGUGGCUCAAUGUAGAUUAGAUUUUGAAGCCAUUUUGAAAAAAAAAUAAAAAUUUCUGAAUUUUAAGCUAGAUGAUCUCGGUUUGGUCUUCCAUAUGAAGAUGUUUCAGAGUAAUGAGGUUGUGCCAUAGAGGAACGUAAAAUUAGUGUCGUUUCAUAAGGAAAAGUUGGUGUUUUCUUUUUCUUUUUCUUUUUCUUUUGUACUGUUUCAGAGAUUAAUCGUCAGGGACAAAGGAAGUUUCCGCUCACCUGCUUAUCGACUUGAAGAUAAUAUUAAGGAGCGCAAAAUAUGUUAUUGGUAAUGUUUCUUUCGUUCUUCCCCUGAAGCUUUCAUGUAGGGUUCUGAUAAAUAGGGUUUCUGGGUAGCAGGGAUAUGGCUGAAGGCGAAAUGUAAUAAAAUAUAUGACCUGUGUUGGGUUCUGGGUUUUUUUCCUUUUAAUUAUAGUUUUUUCUCCUUGAAGUUGGAGGUCAAAUGCCAUGUGGUGAGCACAGAUGUGAGCACAUGGCUUCUCUAAUAUCCAUGCUCUAAGACUGUUAAUCAAUACUGCAAAACCUGGGGUUUUGUGCUUUUUUUCAAGAGAAUCACUUGCAGAGGAACACCACCUGAUUGUGGUUGGCUGAGGAGGAAAAAGAAAACCUGUUUAUUAGGAGCAAGGGGCACUUGAGAACUGUGAGUCUGUAGAGAAGUGAGAAGCAAGCAUGUAAUUCUCAUCAGGUUGAUGUAAGAAGAAAAUAUUAUUUUCUUUUAGUUCUUGAUCACUUACUUCUUUUUUGCAAACCAGUUCAGGUAUUAUCUGCUCCUCAAAUCUAUAAUCACAGUACAGCUCUCAUUGAUUCAUUUCUUCCUGUUCAUACUUACUUUGGCAGUCAUAUUUAAUAAUCUGCAAUCUUUCUUCAAUCCCCACAUUCAAAACCUUCUUCUUUUAGUAGUCUGUCUUCUUUGAUUUCAACAGCACUGGUGAGGCUUAAGACUACUGUCAUGCUCUCUAAGUUCCACUAUAUUCUCCCAAUCUAUCAGCUGGCAGACUCUUUUUUGAUCAGCAGUACUGGAGAUAGAAUUGAUAAACUGCUUUUCUGCUACGUUUUUUUCGUGGAUCUAGAUCAUAUAUAGUUUCAUUCCUCGUAUCUCUCCCCAUAAAAAUCAGCUUUGUUCCAUCCAUCUGUCUAUUAAUCUAUCUCCCAUCAAUCUCGUUAAUUUGCAUAUCUUACAG
rnacentral:lncRNA from 1 species